UGAGCAAUCUGCCCUUCUCAUCGGAAUAAGCGUUGGAAACGACGUCUAAUGCCGAAUACGACCUCCUUUCGCAUGAUCGGAGGUGGAAAGCUCCGGCGGAGAAGGAUGAGCUCGCGGCCUAUCAGCUAGUUGAUGUGGGUAAUGGCCCACCAAGGCGACGACGGGUAGCCGGCCUGAGAGGGUGACCGGCCACACUGGGACUGAGACACGGCCCAGACCUCCCGUAGGGA
rnacentral:rRNA from 1 species